UACGAAGGGGGCUAGCGUUGCUCGGAAUCACUGGGCGUAAAGCGCACGUAGGCGGACUCUUAAGUCGGUGGUGAAAUCCUGGAGCUCAACUCCAGAACUGCCUUCGAUACUGGGAGUCUCGAGUCCGAGAGAGGUGAGUGACUGCGAGUGUAGAGGUGAAAUUCGUAGAUAUUCGCAAGAACACCAGUGGCGAAGGCGGCUCACUGGCCCCGGUACUGACGCUGAGGGUGCGAAAAGCGUGGGGGAGCCGAACAGG
rnacentral:rRNA from 1 species